ACGACGCCCCGGUCAGGGCCUGGGCGCGGCUCGCGAGCCGGGUCGUCUCUAUAGCAAUGAGGAGCCGCCACCUGUUCCUUUGAAGAGGGGACUCGGUCACCUGAGGCCUCAGGCGGGCGCGGGGAGGAGUCCGAGGCCCCGCGGGCUCUGCGCCGUCACGUCGGCCGCCUGCGGGCGAGAAGGGAUUGGAAUGAAAACUGAUCUAUUCCAGAAGAACUAUAGAGCUGAGAAAGAGGAAUAAAAAUCCAGGCUGACACACUGUGGUGAGAGAAGAAUUCACCGCUCACACUGCCAGGAACCUGGAGGGGAAGGAGGUACACCCCAGCAACAAGGAGAGGCCCUGAUCCUCAAGCUCACAGCCUGUGGAGCCGAGCCCACCAGCCCCGGCCCCCUCCUGGACUUGCAGAAACCUCUGGUGAGGGUGUCCUUAUGCCUCCUUGUCCAGCACCGGGUCUCAUGGCUUCGUGGUCCACAGAGGAGUCCAG